UAUUCAGAUGCUUCAAUAAACCAAUAAAUACACUGUUUUUUCCAACUUAAAAGUCAAAUUAUGGAAAUAGGUUUUCAAAUGUAUUUUCAAGAUUUAAAUGAAUCCUACUGGGUGA